UACGUAGGGUGCGAGCGUUGUCCGGAAUUAUUGGGCGUAAAGAGCUCGUAGGCGGUGUGUCACGUCGGCCGUGAAAACCUGGGGCUUAACUCUGGGCGUGCGGUCGAUACGGGCAUCACUAGAGUUCGGCAGGGGAGACUGGAAUUCCUGGUGUAGCGGUGAAAUGCGCAGAUAUCAGGAGGAACACCGGUGGCGAAGGCGGGGUCUCUGGGGCCGAUACUGACGCUGAGGAGCGAAAGCAUGGGUAGCGAACAGG
rnacentral:rRNA from 1 species